GGUUAAGUGACUAAGCGUACACGGUGGAUGCCUUGGCAGUCAGAGGCGAUGAAAGACGUAGUAACUUGCGAUAAGCCCAGAUUAGGUAGUAACAACCAUUUGAGUCUGGGAUUUCUGAAUGGGGAAACCCACGUGCAUAAGCACGUAUCCUUACCUGAAUACAUAGGGUAAGGAGGCGAACCGGGGGAACUGAAACAUCUAAGUACCCCGAGGAAAAGAAAUCAACCGAGAUUCCGAAAGUAGCGGCGAGCGAAAUUGGACUAGCCCUUAAGCUUUACACGCGUUAGACGAACGGUCUGGAAAGUCCGACGAUACAGGGUGAUAGUCCCGUAGUUGACGACGUGUGUUCAGUGAAAUCGAGUAGGGCGGGACACGUGAUAUCCUGUCUGAAUAUGGGGGGACCAUCCUCCAAGGCUAAAUACUACUGACUGACCGAUAGUGAACCAGUACCGUGAGGGAAAGGCGAAAAGAACCCCUGUGAGGGGAGUGAAAUAGAACCUGAAACCGUGUACGUACAAGCAGUAGGAGCAGGCUUGUCCUGUGACUGCGUACCUUUUGUAUAAUGGGUCAGCGACUUAUAUUCAGUGGCAAGGUUAACCAUCUAGGGGAGCCGUAGGGAAACCGAGUCUUAACUGGGCGUUCAGUCUCUGGAUAUAGACCCGAAACCAGGUGAUCUAGCCAUGGGCAGGUUGAAGGUUGAGUAACAUCAACUGGAGGACCGAACCGACUAAUGUUGAAAAAUUAGCGGAUGACUUGUGGCUAGGGGUGAAAGGCCAAUCAAACCUGGAGAUAGCUGGUUCUCCCCGAAAGCUAUUUAGGUAGCGCCUCGGACGAAUACUACUGGGGGUAGAGCACUGUUAAGGCUAGGGGGUCAUCCCGACUUACCAACCCUUUGCAAACUCCGAAUACCAGUAAGUACUAUCCGGGAGACACACGGCGGGUGCUAACGUCCGUCGUGGAGAGGGAAACAACCCAGACCGCCAGCUAAGGUCCCAAAUUACUACUAAGUGGGAAACGAUGUGGGAAGGCUCAGACAGCCAGGAUGUUGGCUUAGAAGCAGCCAUCAUUUAAAGAAAGCGUAAUAGCUCACUGGUCGAGUCGGCCUGCGCGGAAGAUGUAACGGGGCUAAGUAGUAAACCGAAGCUGCGGCAAUGUGCUUU
rnacentral:rRNA from 1 species